rnacentral:pre_miRNA from 4 species
UAGGAUGACCAACCAUCCCAGUUUGCCCAGGACUGAGGCAUUUCCCAGGACAUGGGAUUUUCAGUGCUAAAAGCAAAAAAGUCUUGGGCAAACUGGGACGAUUGGUCACCCUAUUCCUGA